ACUCUAAAAAAGUUGAGAGACUUUUAGAUUGGGGCCUGACUUCUUGACCUAGGAGAUCAGAUUGGGAGGCCAAAUGGUUGCCAUAUCCAUGUCACCUUGAGUCCUUGACUCACAGACGCAGGAUUUUCACAAUAUAAUGACUGCGACGACCAAUGAAAAGAAGGAAACUGUUGUUGAGAGCAAGAGAACAGAAGGUGGCCAGGAUGUACAGGCUUGUCCUUUGUACCUCAAUGUUGUACCUUAAUGACACCGUUCAUGCCAAUUUCUUUCCAUACACAAUAUGGUGAUUCCACAUGAGGUCAAAACCGCCCCUGCAUCUUGUCUUUGGGUUCCAGGACUGCUUUGAAACUUGGGUGAUCUUAUGGUUAUAUCUGUCAACUAGAGUGUAGCGCCUACCACAAUAGCUGGAUUCGAAGGCCCACCAAUGAGCUAGUUUUUAAGACAUGUGAUUUGACAUUAUGUAACAAUGUUUUCAUGUUAAUAAGAAUUAUGAUUUUUAAAAU